AGAGUUUGAUCAUGGCUCAGAUUGAACGCUGGCGGCAGGCCUAACACAUGCAAGUCGAACGGUAACAUUUCUAGCUUGCUAGAAGAUGACGAGUGGCGGACGGGUGAGUAAUGCUUGGGAACUUGCCUUUGCGAGGGGGAUAACAGUUGGAAACGACUGCUAAUACCGCAUAAUGUCUUCGGACCAAACGGGGCUUAGGCUCCGGCGCAAAGAGAGGCCCAAGUGAGAUUAGCUAGUUGGUAAGGUAACGGCUUACCAAGGCGACGAUCUCUAGCUGUUCUGAGAGGAAGAUCAGCCACACUGGGACUGAGACACGGCCCAGACUCCUACGGGAGGCAGCAGUGGGGAAUAUUGCACAAUGGGGGGAACCCUGAUGCAGCCAUGCCGCGUGUGUGAAGAAGGCCUUCGGGUUGUAAAGCACUUUCAGUUGUGAGGAAAAGUUAGUAGUUAAUACCUGCUAGCCGUGACGUUAACAACAGAAGAAGCACCGGCUAACUCCGUGCCAGCAGCCGCGGUAAUACGGAGGGUGCGAGCGUUAAUCGGAAUUACUGGGCGUAAAGCGCACGCAGGCGGUUUGUUAAGCUAGAUGUGAAAGCCCCGGGCUCAACCUGGGACGGUCAUUUAGAACUGGCAGACUAGAGUCUUGGAGAGGGGAGUGGAAUUCCAGGUGUAGCGGUGAAAUGCGUAGAUAUCUGGAGGAACAUCAGUGGCGAAGGCGACUCCCUGGCCAAAGACUGACGCUCAUGUGCGAAAGUGUGGGUAGCGAAC
rnacentral:rRNA from 1 species